AGGCGCUGGAGAGGAAGAAUAGGAGAGAAAGAGAUUCGUCCAAUAAUGCAACCCAAUAUGUAUGCAGAUGUCAUUUGGCCUUCUUCACAUCACCCUGUGGGAAUUGGAGCUCAGCAAACUGACACAAAAAUGCUGAUAUAUUGCUGCUACGGCUACUAAGGCCAUCCUAUUGCUGGGUGAACUGGGGAGACCCUGGUUCCUGAGCCACCGACCCAGCCAGACCUGAAGGAGUUGCCGAAGGUUCUUGGUCUUGUCACGAGGAGGAAUUCAAGGACAGACAUGAAGCACAGUGGAUGAGUAACAGAAGCGGGAAGUUUAUUAAAGUAAAAAGUACCCUGUGGAGAUGUGAGAUCAAGAAUGAUAGCAAGAACAAUGUGUGCCGUGGGGGUUUCGGUUUCUAGCUUUUAUUGACCGUUAUUAACUAAGAGGCAAAAUGUUUAUUACUUGGGAUAUGAAGCAGUGUUUUACACUUUUUCUUCCUAAUUUGGUCAGGGGUUUCCUGUCAUGGCAUCCACCAUCUCAGGCCUGUUUGGUUAGAUCUGGCUUCUUGUGGAGUGCUGCCAGGACAGGCCUCUGACUUUCCCAAUAGCUGGCCAUGACUUCCUCAGUCCUGGCCUCCAGGUAUCCUGUUAGAACCUAACUAACUGCCUACUCUAACAACAACCCACAAGUCUAACAACAUUUAGACUGAGUAAGAAAAGUAAAGAAUGGUGUUUAUGUUAAAACCAAUCAUUAACCUUAAAGCUUACCUCUUCAUAAAUUAAAAGGCAGAAGAAAAAGCAACCUACAUGUGUAGGGUAACUGUAACAUUUUUUUUUUUAAGAUUUUACUUAUUCAUUUGAGACACAGAGAUACGAGAGAGAGAGAGAGAGAGAGAGAGAGCCAUGAGCAGGGGGAGAGGGAGAAGCAGGCUCCCCACCAAGCCAGGAGCCCAAUGUGGGGCUCGAUCCCAGGACCCUGGGAUCUUGACCUGAGCUGAAGGCAGAUGCUUAACCAUCUGAGCCACCCAGGUGCCCCCUAACUGUACCAUUCUGAAACAAGAGGAGAAGUAAGUAGCUGGAUAUGAAUAACAUAAAUAUUUCAUUUUGGAAAGGAUUAUCUUUUGGUCUUUUUUUCAAGGGCAGGAGAAUAUUCCAUCCCGAAGAAGCAGUUGUUGGAAGGGUUUAAAGCAACACAGUUGCUCAACUGAUGAAUCACUGAACUCUGCCUCUGAAAUUAAUAAUACACUGUAUGUUAAGUAAUUGAAUUUAAAUAAAAUAAAGUAAAAUUAAAAAUAAAAGAGUCACAGUGCUCAGGGAGGAAACUAAGAGCUUGCUAAUAUGUGGAACACAGCCUGUUAAAGGAAGUGGGGACAGGGCAAGAAGGGGCUGCUACCCAACUUCUUUGCCCGAGGCCUGCCAAUACUAGCUUACCCUGAGGAAAUCAGAGUGUUGUCACUGCAGUACACUUUCUUCACUGAAGCAAGGAAGGAGAGUGGGCAAGAAAAAUCUUUUCUCAAUUGCUGAAACUGUUACAGCAUUUUGGUCUAUAAUCUACAUCUACAUGGUUCUCUUAACUCCCUAAAUUCUCCCAGAUAUUUCUUUCUCUUUUCUUCCUUGUUGAUUUCCUAGACACCAAAGUUCAGUAGCACAUUAGAGAUCAAUGAUUAAUUUAAAAAUAAGAAAUAUUCACCUUGCAUUUAGACAAAUGAAGUGGGAUAGUAGAUUGAGCACAGACCUUAGAAGGAGAUGAUGUUGAGUCUCAGGCCUACCACUUACGAGUUAUGUGACCUUGAACAAACAAAUCAUAUCCAUCUCUCAAUGUUCUCAUCUAUAAUGUAAAUAGUAAGCUCAACUGCUGUGAAGAUCAAAUGAUGGUUCACAAACUCAUCGUGUAUGGAAGACAUUACAGCUGAAGAUUAUGCUGCCAUUUCAACAGCUUAUACAUUUUAAGUGGGCCCAUCUUACAAAUCUGGCUUCUCUAUUAAGAAUUAUCAGUGCCAAUAUGAGAGUUAUUGGACAAUACUAGAGGGAAAAAUCAGUUCAAACAACAUUUUCUUUUUGUCUCUCUCCUUAUUUAAGAUAGACCUAUGGGAAAAAAUACUUGAAGAUUCUUUGUAGCAACAGGGCAAAAUAAAGCUUUCUUUGGAAUAAUUUGCCUGAAUAAAACUUUAUGCUGUGUCUACCAUCUGCUAACUACUGUUGGGGCACCAAAAUGAGUAUGACAAGAUCACAGCACAUCAUCUACAAAUUCACAAUAUGUCUUUAUAACAAAAUGAUUAUUUUUACUUAAAAGCAAGGACACGGCUAAAGCUCUUAGAAUAAAACUUACCUUGUUUAACACCACCUACAAGGGUAAUGAAAGAGGACAUCAAAAUAAUUAAAUUCAAUUAUUACCCUACGAAGCAGUGUUUUCCAAAUUGCAUGUAGUGGGAUGCUACCAGCAUAGUUUUCCUUGUUUUUCACGUGUGGAUAAUUGCCUUCUUUAUCCUGCUCUGUGCAUGACACAUUGUCAUCAUUGGUCCCUGAAAGAUCACUUUAUUUGCAUUUAUUCCCAUUCUCUUCCCCCACUUACCUUCCUUCAUAACCAUUCUGUUUAAAGCAAGUCUUUUUACAUAUAUGCCUUCUUAUGUGUAUUUUUGGGUUUUGUACCCCUUCUUUAAAUUUAUGUAAAUGGUAUUGGGAUAUGUAUCUAUUCUCUUUCUUACUUUUUUCACUACCCACACUCUUUUAAAAAUGUGUCCAUGUUACUUUGUGUAUGCUGUCAAUGUCUUCUAGUAUGUGCCUAGUACACUACAUUUCCCUAUCCACCCCCGCAGUGAUGAAUGCCCACAUUGCCUCCAAUUCUCUGCCCCAUAAACAUGCUGUGACAAUUAUCCCCAUAUAUGUUCCCUUAUGGACUUGCUGAGGAAGUCUUUGGAAUAUAGAUCCAGAAACAGAAUUGCUGAGUCACAGAAUAUGCAUCUACUCUUAAAUUAACUGGAUACUGCCUAACUUCCCUCCAAAAUGGCAGGACCAUUCCACAUUCCCAACAGUAACCUGGAAGGAUUCCUACAUCCUUACAGGUACUUGGCAUUAUUCAGCUUUCUAAUUUUUGUCAGUCUAAUGAGUCUAAAGUGAUACUUCACUGUUGUUUUAUUCUCCAUAUCUAUGAUUCAUACUUGUUUGGAAUAGCUCUUUUUAUAAGUGCUGGCCUCAGUUUCUUUCUUCUAUAUAUUCUACAUAUCCUCUUGCAGUAAAUAGGCAAACAAAAAAGUUGCUUGAACAUUUCUGCUUCUAAUACUGUCUGUUCAUAACCCUUUUCCAUUUCUCUA